GACGAACGCUGGCGGCGUGCUUAACACAUGCAAGUCGAACGGAGUGGCGAACGGGUGAGUAACACGUGGGUGAUCUGCCUUGCGCUUCGGGAUAAGCUUGGGAAACGGGGUCUAAUACCGGUAAGUGGAAGAUGGGCUCGGGGCCAAUGAGCUUGUUGGUGGGGUAAUGGCCUACCAAGGCGUCGACGGGUAGCCGGCCUGAGAGGGUGUACGGCCCCCAUGGGGCUGAGGUACGGCCCAGACUCCUAUGGUGGGCAGCAGGGGGGAAUAUUGCACAAUGGUCGGAAGUCUGAUGCGGCGGCCCCGCGUGUGGGAUGAAGGCCUUCGGGUUGUAAACUCCUUUCGACAGGGACGCGGUACCUGUAUAAGAAGCACCGGCUAACUACGUGCCAGCAGCCGCGGUAAUAC
rnacentral:rRNA from 1 species